CAGGCAGGUAUCUGUACCCCAUGUUCACUGCAGCAUUAUUCACAGUAGCCAAGAUAUGGAAACAACCUAAAUGUCUAUUGAUGGAUAAGUGAAUAAAGAAAUAUGAGUCCACUGAAUUCCAGUGAAGAAAAGAGGGUCACAAACACAAUACCAUAAACCACAUCCUCCUAGGAUCUGGAACCAAGAUGAUCUUAGCUGUAUAAAACAAAUUGAAGAGGAUCUCCCUUUUCCCACUAUCAAAAUGGGAAUUUUUUUGGAAUUUAAAUUGGAACAAUUUCAUUCUUGAAUGUGUGGAAGAACUUGCCUAUGUUGCACAAAUCUACAU